rnacentral:rRNA from 1 species
CAGCCGCCACGGUAAUACGUAGGUCCCGAGCGUUAUCCGGAUUUAUUGGGCGUAAAGCGAGCGCAGGCGGUUAGAUAAGUCUGAAGUUAAAGGCUGUGGCUUAACCAUAGUACGCUUUGGAAACCGUUUAACUUGAGUGCAAGAGGGGAGAGUGGAAUUCCAUGUGUAGCGGUGAAAUGCGUAGAUAUAUGGAGGAACACCGGUGGCGAAGGCGACUCUCUGGUCUGUAACUGACGCUGAGGAGCGAAAGCGUGGGGAGCGAACAGGAUUAGAUACCCCAGUAGUCCCUGUCUCUUAUACA